GGCCCAAGGAGUAAGGGCAGCAAGAACCAUACUCGCAACAAUGUUAAUGGAACUGGAGACCUCCGAGGGGGUAGAAGAGUCAGAGAAACAGAGGUCCGCCCCGAAAAGGGAAACCCCCAGCAGGAUGGCUGACCUCUCUGAGCUCCUGAAGGAAGGGACCAAAGAAGCACAUGACCGGGCAGAAAACACCCAGUUUGUCAAGGACUUCUUGAAAGGCAACAUCAAGAAAGAGCUGUUUAAGCUGGCCACUACUGCACUUUACUUCACAUACUCAGCCCUCGAGGAAGAAAUGGACCGCAACCAGCACCAUCCAGCCUUCGCCCCCUUGUACUUCCCCAUGGAGCUGCACCGGAAGGAGGCACUGAUUAAGGACAUGGAGUAUUUCUUUGGUGAGGACUGGGAGAAGCAGGUGCAGUGCUCUGAGGCCACCCAAAAGUAUGUGGAGCGGAUCCACUAUGUGGGGCAGAAUGAGCCGGAGCUGCUGGUGGCCCAUGCCUAUACCCGCUACAUGGGGGACCUCUCGGGGGGCCAGGUGCUUAAGAAGGUGGCCCAGAGGGCUCUGAAACUCCCCAGCACAGGGGAGGGGACCCAAUUUUACCUGUUUGAGAACGUGGACAACGCACAACAGUUCAAACAGUUCUACCGGGCCAGGAUGAAUGCCCUGGACCUGAACCUGAAAACCAAAGAGAAGAUUGUGGAGGAGGCCAACAGGGCCUUUGAGUACAACAUGCAGGUAUUCAAUGAACUGGACCAGGCUGGCUCCUUGCUGGCCAAAGAGAUCGUGGAAGAUGGGCUUCCCGUGCACAAUGGGAAAGGAGAUGUGCGUAAAUGCCCCUAUUACACUGCUAACCAAGACAAAGGUGCCCUGGAGGGUAGAAGUUGUCCCGUUGGAACAGCCAUAGCUGUGCUGAGCAAGCCCAGCCUCCAGUUCAUUCUGGCCGCCAGUGUGGCUCUGGCUGCUGGCCUCUUGGCCUGGUACUACAUGUGAAAGACCCAUCACCACAUUGGCGCCCUCCUCCUGAGUGACUGCUGGCCCGCUCCCACCUCUACCUGUGACAAAACCACCACCCCAGGUGGGUAUCUUUCCCCUGCUGGGAGCGGAGCAGCCAGCCAGGCCAAGGCGAGGUGCUGUAGCCCCGUGGGAGGGAAGGGACUCCCCGGAUGCUCCUGCUCUACUGGGGGGCUCACCUGGGCAUGUGGUGAGCAGACAGAAGCCAGGCUUGCCUGGGCAGCCAGUCCUUAUCUGUCUCUAGCAGAAACGCCCAAGUGGGGUGCGUCCAGCCAUGGCCUAUCUCCUCCUGACCUGUGUCAUGCUACAGCACUCAAUAAAGUGGACUCUUGACAGCUGCCUCCUUCCUGGCACAGAUGUCAUCCUCGCUGGUCUCUGACAUCCUCCUCCUGCUGUGUUCCAAGACUGCUAGUUACCUUAUAAAUAAGCAUAAAAAACCAUGUACUUGUAUUGAAUAAUUGAUUGUCUAAAAUAGAAAUGUGAACUUAAAUAUUUUUAUUAAUAGGCAUCUAUUGUUUUAUAUAA